rnacentral:lncRNA from 1 species
AAUCAAUUAAUUAAAUAAAUAAAUAAAUAAAAGAAAAAGAAAAAAUAAGAAAAAAAAGGGAAAUAUGAAUGUGGGAGAGAUGGAAAUAGUAAUUAAAAGAAAUGACCCAAAGUCCAUCAUAAAAAAAAACAAUAAAAACUGAAUUAAAAAAAAGGUGUUUUGUUGGCAAGAAACUGAUGUGAGUUAACAUGAUGGAUCAAACACACAUUUUUAGAUGAACAUGUGAUUAUGGUGUUCAUCCUGAAAAAUUAGAACCACCUCAAAUGUACUAUAAUCCCAAAACCAUAAACAUCAAAGUUCACCGAAGUCAUCCCUAAACUCAUUUCCAAACAUAAAUUCAAUAAAACAACAACAAUUUCAAGAUCCCACACCAUUCCCCAAACCGAAACCUAAUCAUACA